UGCCCAGUAACUCCUAUCCCUACCUCCUCGCGGUACUGGCCGGGGUACGAGUAACCUUAGGGACGAUCAGGUAACCCACCCCGGUGGAAACUCUGGUCGUAUGCUGACAGGGAAGG
rfam:Aedes aegypti strain Liverpool supercont1.433 genomic scaffold, whole genome shotgun sequence.